ACAUAUAAAAUUUGAUCACCUAAACAAGAUGAAUAGUAAGCGUUUGACACAGCCCCUGAAAUAAAUGAUGGUGGAUGCUCCAGAUAUCUUUAUCAUGUUGGGUACAUGCUCCAAACAAAGCUUGAACUGUCCUAUUCAUUUCCUUUCCACUCCAGCUGAUUCUUGGUACACAGAAUUGAAUCCUUCUAUAAAAUAACCUGAGAUGUCCUAUCUUAUGUGAUAUAGAUCUGUGCCCCAAAAUGACAAAAUCAUUUUCUAAACUCCAGAAAAACAUGGGAUAUGAUUUCUAGUGCUUCUAAAAGAAAAUGUUGGCUCACUUUUUACGAGUUAACAAAAACCAACAUAUUUAUUAUUCAUUUUAUAUUUCACUUAUACCAAAUGAGAGUGAAACUCUCUUGGUUUCUGGCUAAUGCAUUCAAAAGUCCCCUGGCCAUCACAGUGAAAAGGAAACCUGCAGCCAGACUUCACAACUUGAAAAACCUAGGCAGAAGUAAAGGGUAGUUACAUGUACCCUUGACAGAAGUAAGACAGAAUUUUCUCCUCUGGUUUUGGGUGAUUUUUUUUCUGUCAGAGGUGUGUGCAGUAUUUUUGAAAUAGAUGGAAAAAUAUAUGAUCAAUAGAUGAUUAAUAAUGAUAAAAAAUUAAAAAUCUAGCUUGUCUCUUCUUUCAUUUCUAGUACUUUCCCAUUACUUUUUCAGGAAACUUCCACUUAUGUCUAUAAAGGAUUGGAAAAUUUGUGCAAAUGUCAGCAUAAUUCAUUAGUAUAGUUUGCUGUGCUCUUGUGGUUGUCAUGUUAAUGCUCUCUAUCAUAUGUAGAUACUCAAUUCUCUCCUUCACUCCCCUCACAGUUUGCUAUUCUUUCUUUUUAUUUCUGCACUGAUGCACAGCCCCAGUUUCCUUCAUUACUGCUCAUUUUAAGCAGUAGCUUGCCAGGGCUUUGUCAGGGCUGGAGUUAGUGAGUGAUAGCUUAAAGACCCUGGAGCUGGGUAUCUGGAUUUCCGCCUCUCUAUCCCAGCAGUUAAAAUUGUUCUUUUGUGCCUCUGCACUUCUGUGUGUGAGUUAGAAAUUCACUUUGUAUGCAAUUUAGCAUCUUUAAAUUUUUUAACUGCCCUUAAGUAACAAGUUUGUUUAUUUAUUUAUUCCCAAAAAUGUCCUUCUGAGCUCAAAGUACUCUUGUCCAGAAGUUUGGUCCAGAGGACGAAGGUCAAUUCCACCAACAGGUACACCUUUGCAACUUUGUCUUUUCAAGGAAUGUUCUUUGGAGUCUCAAAGGGGUGUGCCUACAUUCUCUGGCAUCCAUACUGCCCAUUAUUGUGGAUCACACAGACCACAGGUAAGGAGGUCGGAGAGGUCAAGUAUGCAGAAUGAUCUGAUAGAGAUGAUGAGAGAAAUUAGGUCCCAUGAGUCUGCCAUAUGAAGGAGGAGAGACAGCAGAUGGCUCUGUGGCCUGUCUUGGUCCCAUCUUCUUGAUACCUAUAUGCCCCUUCUGACAGAACAUUGAGUAACUUGCUCCAAAUAAGAUGAAGAUUAAUUGUUUCUGUCUCCAGAGUGAUGGUCUUCUCCUGAGGCACUGUAUCCACUAUGAGGAUACAAAUGCACACCUUGAGAGUUUAUCUUUUUGGUUUUCUUCCCAAAAAGAAAAGCCAUUAUUACUUCAUCUUGCUUGCUUGUUGUAGUCACAGCCUAGGGUUGUAUGGAGAGUUUCAAUGUGGAUUUAAGUUGCACUGAGCUGAGAAGGCUUGUGGGAUUCCAGAUGGUUUGAGCUCAUCAAGGAAAAGAAAGUAUGGUCCAUGCAAUGAGUCCUAGUAAGAGUAGUGUUCAAAUAACCAGAAUCACAUUUAUUUUAAGCAACAUUAUAUUGUACUUAGUUGUUUAAGACCAGACUUUUAAAGGCAGUUUGGCACCUGGAAUUCAAAGAAAAUGCCAAGAUAAAGUGUACUACCACUGACUGCAAUGGUGCUUUUAAGUGCUUUUUGAAACUAAAUCCCAUUAAGUAUUUGUUUGCUUCAUCCUAAAAUAGUAUUUUUUUCAAAAGAGAAAACAAAGCAAAAAACAAACAAACAAACAAACAAAAACAUUUCAGGGCAAAUCUAAAAAGUUGUUUCCUUGCAGACAUUCCCAUUGACUUAUAAAACAUACUCUUAACAUGACCAGGCUGGCAGUGAUUCAGUACAGCUUGCUGGAGCUGAUUACCAAGAAUAAGCACCAACUGUCCUCACUCUCUUGUGGUCUCCUCACUGGUAGUUGGGCUCCUCUUGCUCUUAUGGCUUGGACCCCUGAAGGGGCAAGUCAGCUGCCCCAGAGACCCACUUACUACCCUGUAGAUAGCCUGGUGACUCUCCCCAUCUUUGUAUUACUACAAUGUCUGCUGAGCCCUAGCCUGGCUUGAUAACUAUACAACUCUGUGUAGCAAGGGUUUAUUUGCUACAAGACUUGCUUUCAUUGAAGGCAGAGGUAAUCCUUGUUGCUGACUUUACUGUGAGAAGAGGGAGAUUACUUCAUUCCAAAAAGCAGAUGGAGUAAUUUAAAAAGACUAUGGGACUCCAGGACAGGUGGAAGAAGAUUUUCAGUCAGCCCUUUAGGACCUGGAGAAUAUAAGAGUGAUUAAUGAGACACUGUUAAGAUAGUGAGUAACCAAGACAUGGCUGCUGAAUGUUACUGAAAUAAUAACCAGGCUUCUGGGAGUAAAAAGGCUCUUUCCAGGGUUUGGGGCAGGCAGGAUUGGGAAAAGAUGUGAAAGUUGGUGCUUGAGCUUUAUGCAUUAAUGUGCCUUUUUACAUUUCUUAUCAAAUUUAAGGGAAAAGAUGUAGCAUACCUGUCUCUGUGCUGCUGUUGUCAAUGUAUUUCUGUGACCUCUCAAAUGUGGAUUUAGGGUGUGUGCAUUUAGGGUGGAAGAGACCUCUUCCAUUCACCUUAUCCACUGGCUGUGUUUUGGGGACUAGCUCCAGGAGCUGUGGAAGUCUUUACCAUCAGCAUCCCUUUGCUUGCCUACAAAAAUAGAACCAUUUUCUACCUCACAAGAAAACAGAUAAAUUAACAGUGCAUAAUUUCUUAAGAAGAUUUACUAUGGGAGAAACUUAUUGGGAAUCUUCCAGGAGCUUGUUACCCAUCAAAUAUUCAGUUUUUAAGAUCAACAGCUUGAGUAAAUGGUAAGUUUAUUUAAUUUACUCUUCACAUAAAAAAUUGCAUUACAAUUAUACUUACAAUUUUUAUUGGAUAUUCUUUCAUUUUCAUGUGGUAUUAUAAAACAUCUAAGGGGUAGUGGGAAUGUAAUACUUCAGACACACAGAGUGUGGUUACUGCAUUCAUUAAUUGCCCAGCUAUUGCUUCAUGCUUUCAGACCAGUAUCAUUGUUUCAAAAAGUAGAUAGGGAGUGAUUUCAAAGAGAACUGAGUCAAGCCCAGAAAUCAUGUAUAUUAAAAUUUGUCUUGAACAGACCUUGUAAAACAGAGUUGCCCCUUUCUCUGAAUUUCAGCAAUUAUUGUUUCAUAGAUAAGAAAGACCUAUGGAAGCAAUUAUACCACAGAUAUAGACUCAUCUUUCAAGUCUUACAAAAUUCAGAUUUUGAAAUAAUUUUAUUUUUUUUUUCAAAUAAAUAUCUAUACUCUCCUAA